ACUCUGAAGCAUUCUCUCUCGCGGUCCGUGUGACCACCACUCACCUCUCUCUCUGAAACGCACUGGAGACCGCCGUUGGCGGUAAGAUUCUGGUGCUGUGAAUUUGGGACCAAAAAACUUUGAUUCUUCAUUGGAAAUGUUUCAUUAUUUCCACAAAUUUCUUAUGCUUGGCCUCAAAAUCUCAAUGUUAACAAGAGAUAACAUCUGCAGGAGCUUCCAAUCUUGACGAUGAAGACCUUGCAAGCUGAAAAUAGUUUAAUUUCCAUUCAAACAUUGUAACAUGAUAUGCAUGUAUUUGUUAAAAGAUAAAUGGUGUCACGAUUCUUUAUGUUACAGGUUGAAAAUUUUGGCAAAUUUGUUUUAGAAGUACCAAUCCAACUAAAUUCAAUGAUAUUAUAAUGAGUUAAACAA